AGCAGUGGGGAAUUUUGGACAAUGGGCGCAAGCCUGAUCCAGCAAUGCCGCGUGAGUGAAGAAGGCCUUCGGGUUGUAAAGCUCUUUUGUCAGGGAAGAAACGGUGAGAGCUAAUAUCUCUUGCUAAUGACGGUACCUGAAGAAUAAGCACCGGCUAACUACGUGCCAGCAGCCGCGGUAAUACGUAGGGUGCAAGCGUUAAUCGGAAUUACUGGGCGUAAAGCGUGCGCAGGCGGUUUUGUAAGUUUGUCGUGAAAGCCCCGGGCUCAACCUGGGAAUUGCGAUGAAGACUGCAAGGCUUGAAUCUGGCAGAGGGGGGUAGAAUUCCACGUGUAGCAGUGAAAUGCGUAGAGAUGUGGAGGAACACCGAUGGCGAGCAGCCCCCUGGGUCAGAUUGACGCUCAUG
rnacentral:rRNA from 1 species